rnacentral:rRNA from 2 species
CGGAUGAUUAAGAGCUUGCUCUUAUGACGUUAGCGGCGGACGGGUGAGUAACACGUGGGCAACCUGCCCUGUAGAUCGGGAUAACACCGAGAAAUCGGUGCUAAUACCGGGUAAUAUCUGAGAUCACAUGAUCUUAGGUUAAAAGAUGGCUCCGGCUAUCACUACAGGAUGGGCCCGCGGCGCAUUAGCUAGUUGGUAAGGUAAUGGCUUACCAAGGCGACGAUGCGUAGCCGACCUGAGAGGGUGAUCGGCCACACUGGGACUGAGACACGGCCCAGACUCCUACGGGAGGCAGCAGUAGGGAAUCUUCCGCAAUGGACGAAAGUCUGACGGAGCAACGCCGCGUGAGUGAUGAAGGGUUUCGGCUCGUAAAGCUCUGUUGUUAGGGAAGAACAAGUAUCGUUCGAAUAGGGCGGUACCUUGACGGUACCUAACCAGAAAGCCACGGCUAACUACGUGCCAGCAGCCGCGGUAAUACGUAGGUGGCAAGCGUUGUCCGGAAUUAUUGGGCGUAAAGCGCGCGCAGGCGGUCUUUUAAGUCUGAUGUGAAAGCCCCCGGCUCAACCGGGGAGGGUCAUUGGAAACUGGGAGACUUGAGUACAGAAGAGGAGAGUGGAAUUCCACGUGUAGCGGUGAAAUGCGUAGAUAUGUGGAGGAACACCAGUGGCGAAGGCGACUCUCUGGUCUGUAACU